GCGAGUGAAGCGGCAAAAGCUCAAAUUUGAAAUCUAGCACUUUCAGUGUUCGAGUUGUAAUUUGAAGAAGGUAUCUUUGGAGUUGGCCCCUGUCUAUGUUCCUUGGAACAGGACGUCACAGAGGGUGAGAAUCCCGUGCGAUGGGGAGACCAAUUCUAUGUAAAGUUCCUUCGAAGAGUCGAGUUGUUUGGGAAUGCAGCUCUAAGUGGGUGGUAAAUUCCAUCUAAAGCUAAAUAUUGGCGAGAGACCGAUAGCGAACAAGUACAGUGAUGGAAAGAUGAAAAGAACUUUGAAAAGAGAGUGAAAAAGUACGUGAAAUUGUUGAAAGGGAAGGGCUUUUGAUCAGACUUGGUGUUUAGUACUCUCUACUCCUUGUGGGUGGGGCUCUUGCUUUAUACUGGGCCAGCAUCGGUUUGGAUGGCAGGAUAAUGACUUUGGAAUGUGGCUUCAUUCGUGGAGUGUUAUAGCCUUUGUUGAUACUGCCUAUCUAGACCGAGGACUGCGUCUUUUGACUAGGAUGCUGGCGUAAUGAUUAAAAGCCGCCC
rnacentral:rRNA from 2 species